CGCGCUCAUUCAGGAACCCGCGCGCCGCGGCGCAGAUCCCAGGACGCAGCGCGGCUGCGCGCUGCCCAGCUGGGGGUUUUGAGGAAGCUUGAGUGAGCCCAGGGUCACCCGGGUGCGGCACGGACCUUCUGCACCCCGCCUGCGGAGCGAAUCUGGGCUGCAGGCGGGCGCACCUAGGUGGGGUCACCUGCAGCCGCAUACCUGGCGGUGACUUGAAAGGACUUGGCUUCAGCUCCGCGAGUUUGCCAUUGUUAAGCCCUUAAAUCGCCACUCUUCCGAAAGCGGCUCCAGAAUUCCGGGGGCGCUCGGACUUCCCUUCCCCCACACCGCAUGCUUUUGGGGCGCGUAUGGCAGCCCAUGUGCUGCCGCAGCUCCGCCCGGGCCACGCGGCGCCGAUCCUGGGUACCCCCAGAGCUGGGAGAGGACCCGGGCUAACUACAGUCCUGAAAUCCACACAGGACGGCCACGCGUGGGGACACGGGGGGGGGGCCGCAGCUCGCGCCCCAGCAGAGAAUGUCAGUUAGUGUCAGCCACACACGAAACCUAGUUCUCCAGUCGAGGGUCGGGAGGAAGAGACACCCAGCCCCGCUGCGGGCGAGGAGUGCGCUCCAGUUUAAAAAGCAAACUAACAGCAAGUGUGCGAAUUAAUUCUCAGCGGUCUCCUGAGGGCGCUUCACCGAGAUCCCCCCCAGGCAGCCGUGGCUGGGGCUCCCGAGACUGCUCGAGGUCCCAGACGGACAGUGUGGGUCCCCGCCUCUCCAAAGAGAAGACUGACUUUUCCCGAGCCCGGUCAUGGCAACUUGAGGCUAAGGAGGGAGCCCUGAAACUUCUACUCACGGAGCUGAACUCCGCAGUCUGGUGGCACGGACACGUUUCAAACCGCUCAUCCCGUACGAAGCUCUGCUGCCCAAAUGUGGCCUUUUGUGCAGUCUCAUAUUUCAUGCCAAUUUUACUGCAACUCCUCCGACCCUUCCAGAGCAUGGCCCCCUCGCUGGGUGGGUGCGCCUGUCCCCCUCUGCAGGAGCCCUCACCCCUCUUCCAUCCACAGUGCGCAGCCCCGGCCGGGUGGUCCGCAGAGGACCUGGACCCAUGGGUCGCAUAGCAAGUGUGAUCCUCGGCCUGCACUAAAUGCCCUUGCCUUAAAGAAAUUUAAAUGUAUGUUUAGCAGUGUGUACUACUUUUAUUAAAUACCGUGUUUUGAUGGGGUAUUUUCACACACGCAUAAAAGACACUUUGACCACGUUCAUUGUCUCCCCUCUUUCUAGGGACGCCGAGGCUGUCACUGCUAUGGCAUCUCUUUACAUGCAAGUACAUUUGAUUGCCUGCAAUAGAAAGUCCAAAAUAAAUACCUUGUAG
rnacentral:lncRNA from 1 species